AUUGAACGCUGGGGGCAUGCCUUACACAUGCAAGUCGAACGGCAGCACGGGGCAACCUGGUGGCGAGUGGCGAACGGGUGAGUAAAGCAUCGGAACGUACCUUUCAGUGGGGGAUAACGUAGCGAAAGUUACGCUAAUACCGCAUAUUCUGUGAGCAGGAAAGCAGGGGAUCGCAAGACCUUGCGCUGAUUGAGCGGCCGAUGUCAGAGUAGCUAGUUGGUGAGGUAAUGGCUCACCAAGGCGACGAUCUGUAGCGGGUCUGAGAGGAUGAACCGACACACUGGAACUGAGACACCGUACAGGCUCCUACGGGAGACAGCAGUGGGAAAUUUUGGACAAUGGGUACACCCCUGAUCCAGCCAUGCCGCGUGAGUGAAGAAGGCCUUCGGGUUGUAAAGCUCUUUCGGCCGGGAAGAAAUCGCACGGGCUAAUACCCUGUGUGGAUGACGGUACCGGAAUAAGAAGCACCGGCUAACUACGUGCCAGCAGCCGCCGUAACAC
rnacentral:rRNA from 1 species